UACGUAGGGCGCAAGCGUUGUCCGGAAUUAUUGGGCGUAAAGAGCUCGUAGGCGGUCUGUUACGUCCGCUGUGAAAACCCAGGGCUUAACCCUGGGCUUGCAGUGGGUACGGGCAGACUAGAGGCAGGUAGGGGAGAAUGGAAUUCCCGGUGUAGCGGUGAAAUGCGCAGAUAUCGGGAGGAACACCGGUGGCGAAGGCGGUUCUCUGGGCCUGACCUGACGCUGAGGAGCGAAAGCGUGGGGAGCGAACAGG
rnacentral:rRNA from 1 species